rnacentral:rRNA from 1 species
UACGUAGGGCGCAAGCGUUGUCCGGAAUUAUUGGGCGUAAAGAGCUCGUAGGCGGCUUGUCACGUCUGCUGUGAAAUCCCGGGGCUCAACCCCGGGCGUGCAGUGGAUACGGGCUGGCUAGAGGCAGGCAGGGGAGAACGGAAUUCCCGGUGUAGCGGUGAAAUGCGCAGAUAUCGGGAAGAACACCCGUGGCGAAGGCGGCACUCUGGGACGGUACUGACGCUGAGACGCGAAAGCGUGGGGAGCGAACAGG